GAAAUGCGAUAAGUAAUGUGAAUUGCAGAAUUCAGUGAAUCAUCGAAUCUUUGAACGCACAUUGCGCCCGCCAGUAUUCUGGCGGGCAUGCCUGUUCGAGCGUCAUUUCAACCAUCAAGCCCCCGGCUUGUGUUGGGGACCUGCGGCUGCCCGCAGGCCCUGAAAAACAGUGGCGGACUCGCUGUCACACCGAGCGUAGUAGCAUACAUUCUCGCUCAGGGCGUGCUGCGGGUCCCGGCCGUUAAACGACCUUCAUAACCCAAGGUUGACCUCGGAUCAGGUAGGAAGACCCGCUGAACUUAAGC
rnacentral:misc_RNA from 1 species